rnacentral:rRNA from 1 species
UUCACUCUCUGAAGUUAAGCAUCUCACUAAGCGGAGGAAAAGAAACCAGCAGGGAUUACCCUCGUAACGGCGAGUGAAGCGGUAACAGCUCAAAUUUGAAAUCUGACCUUCACGGGUUCGAGUUGUAAUUUGUAGAGGAUGUUUCGGAUAAGGCUUUGGUUUAAGUUUCUUGGAACAGAGCGUCAUAGAGGGUGAGAGUCCCGUCUAGAACCGAUAGCCGCGUCUAUGUGAAACUCCUUCGACGAGUCGAGUUGUUUGGGAAUGCAGCUCAAAAUGGGUGGUAAAUUUCAUCUAAAGCUAAAUAUUGGCCAGAGCCUGAUAGCGCACAAGUAGAGUGAGGGAAAGAUGAAAAGCACUUUGAAAAGAGAGUUAACCAGUAUGUGAAAUUGUUGAAAGGGAAGCGCUUGCAACCAGACUUGUGUUUAACGGUUCCCCCGUAUCUUCUGAUCGGGCUAUUCCGUUAUAUCCAGGCCAGCAUCGGUUCGGGUGGUCGUUUAAAGCCCUUGGGAAUGUAUCUACCUGCGGGUCGACUUAUAGCUCAGGGUGUAAUGCGUCCCACUUGGACGCGAGGAGCGCGCUUUUGCUCGGAUGCUGGCGUAAUGGUUGUAAACGGCCCGUCGUGAAACACGG